UACGUAGGGUGCAAGCGUUGUCCGGAAUUAUUGGGCGUAAAGAGCUCGUAGGCGGUCUGUCGCGUCUGCUGUGAAAACUCAGGGCUUAACCCUGAGCUUGCAGUGGGUACGGGCAGACUAGAGUGCGGUAGGGGAGACUGGAAUUCCUGGUGUAGCGGUGAAAUGCGCAGAUAUCAGGAGGAACACCCGGUGGGCGAAGGCGGGUCUCUGGGCCGU
rnacentral:rRNA from 1 species